UCCAAUCGAACCCGGAGAUAGCUGGUUCUCUCCGAAAUAGCUUUAGGGCUAGCCUCGUAUUAGAUUACUGGAGGUAAAGCACUGAAUGGGCUAGGGGCCGAGAGGUUACUGAACCCUAUCAAACUCAGAAUGCCAGAUAAUUGAUGUAUGGGAGUCAGACAGUGUGAGAUAAGUUUCAUUGUCAAAAGGGAAACAGCCCAGACCCACAGCUAAGGUCCCAAAGUACGGUUAAGUGGAAAAGGAUGUGGGGUUGCAUAGACAACCAGGAUGUUGGCUUAGAAGCAGCCACUCAUUAAAAGAGUGCGUAAUAGCUCACUGGUCGAGUGACCCUGCGCCGAAAAUUUAACGGGGCUAAAUCGUACACCGAAGCUUGGGAUGCAGCAAUGCAUGGUAGGAGAGCGUCGUAUAAGGGGUGAAGUCAGAGCGUAAGCGCUGGUGGACUUUAUACGAGUGAGAAUGCCGGAAUGAGUAGCGAGAAAUAUGUGAGAAUCAUAUUGGCCGAAAGUCUAAGGUUUUUGGAGGAAGGUUCGUCCGCUCCAAGUAAGCCGGGAGCUAAGGUGAGGCCGAAAGGCGUAGCCGAUGCACAUACGGUAGAUAUUCCGUAGCCGCCAAAAGAUUUAAGUAAGAGGACACCUUGAAAGGACUUGACCCGGGCGAUGGUUGCCCCGGGCGAAAGGGACCGAAAUUUAGUAGGGAAGCAAGUUUGGACGAGGGCGAGAAAAGUCUUAUGUAUAUCUUCGGCGCCCGUACCGCAAACCGACACAGGUAGAUAGGAAGAGAAUUCUAAGGCCAACGGGAGAAGGGUAGUUAAGGAACUCGGCAAAUUGGUCCCGUAACUUAGGGAAAAGGGACGCCAGGGAAACCUGGCCGCAGAGAAUAGGCCCAGGCGACUGUUUAGCAAAAACACAGGUCUCUGCCAAAUCGAAAGAUGAAGUAUAGGGGCUGACACCUGCCCGGUGCUGGAAGGUUAAGAGGAGAUGUGCAAGCAUUGAAUUGAAGCCCCAGUAAACGGCGGCCGUAACUAUAACGGUCCUAAGGUAGCGAAAUUCCUUGUCGGGUAAGUUCCGACCCGCACGAAUGGUGUAAUGAUCUGGGCACUGUCUCAAUUACCCGCCCGGCGAAAUUGUAGUACCGGUGAAGAUGCCGGUUACCCGCGACAAGACGGAAAGACCCCAUGGAGCUUUACUGUAGCUUAAUAUUGGGUUUCGAUAAUUUAUGUAUAGGAUAGGCGGGAGACUAGGAAACCGUGGCGCCAGCCACAGCGGAGUCGACGUUGGAAUACCGCUCUUAAGUUAUUGGAAUUCUAACCUGCGGCCAUGAAUCUGGCCGGGGGACAUUGUUAGGUGGGCAGUUUGACUGGGGCGGUCGCCUCCAAAAAGGUAACGGAGGCGCUCAAAGGUUGGCUCAGCAUGGUUGGAAACCAUGCUUUAGAGUGUAAACGCGUAAGCCAGCCUAACUGCGAGGAUGACGGUCCGAGCAGUAACGAAAGUUGGAGUUAGUGAUCCGGCGGUAUGUGAAUGGAAAUGCC
rnacentral:rRNA from 1 species